AAUAAAUAUAGUUUUGCACUAUUCAUCUCCAACGUUUAACCGUUCGUUUUAUUUGAAAAAAAAUAUGAUUACUAUUUUUAUUGCUAUUAGAUGAUAAAAUAUGAAUAGUACUUUAUGUGUGACUAAUUUUUUUAAAAUAAGACGGAUAGUCAAACGUUGAACACGAAUUUUCACAACUGCAUUUAUU
rnacentral:pre_miRNA from 1 species